CGCCGCGUGAGGGAUGAAGGCCCCCGGGUCGUAAACCUCUUUCAGCAGGGAAGAAGCGCAAGUGACGGUACCUGCAGAAGAAGCACCGGCUAACUACGUGCCAGCAGCCGCGGUAAUACGUAGGGUGCAAGCGUUGUCCGGAAUUAUUGGGCGUAAAGAGCUGUAGGCGGUCUGUCGCGUCUGCUGUGAAAACCUAGGGCUUAACUCUGGGCGUGCAGUGGGUACGGGCAGGCUAGAGUGCGGUAGGGGAGACUGGAAUUCCUGGUGUAGCGGUGAAAUGCGCAGAUAUCAGGAGGAACACCGGUGGCGAAGGCGGGUCUCUGGGCCGUAACUGACGCUGAGGAGCGAAAGCAUGGGGAGCGAACAGGAUUAGAUACCCUGGUAGUCCAUGCCGUAAACGUUGGGCGCUAGGUGUGGGGCACAUUCUACGUGUUCUGCGCCGCAGCUAACGCAUUAAGCGCCCCGCCUGGGGAGUACGGCCGCAAGGCUAAAACUCAAAGGAAUUGACGGGGGCCCGCACAAGCGGCGGAGCAUGCGGAUUAAUUCGAUGCAACGCGAAGAACCUUACCAAGGCUUGACAUGGGAUGAAAACUCGUAGAGAUACGGGGUCUCGCAAGG
rnacentral:rRNA from 1 species